rnacentral:ncRNA from 1 species
UGGUCCUAGCCUUGAAAUCAAUUAUUACUUAAUAUACACAUGCAAGUUUCCGCAUCCCUGUGAGAACGCCCUCUAUUUUCUAUUUGGAACGAGGAGCCGGUAUCAGGCACAAUUUAUAGCCCAAAACACCUAGCUUAGCCACACCCACAAGGGAAUUCAGCAGUGAUUAACAUUGAAUAUUAGCGCCAGCUUGAUUCAGUUAAAGUAAACAGAGCCGGCAAAUCUGGUGCCAGCCGCCGCGGUUACACCACGUGGCUCAAAUUGAUUUUGUUCGGCGUAAAGCGUGAUUAAAGUUAUCCUCAUUUGUAAUUUAAUUUAAACUAAGCUGUGACACGCUUGUACUUAAGAAACCCUAAAACGAAAGUUAUUACAAUUUUUCAACUUGAAUACACGACAGCUAAGAAACAAACUGGGAUUAGAUACCCCACUAUGCUUAGCCGUAAACCUUUAUUUACACCUUAUCGCCUGGGAACUACGAGCAAAGCUUAAAACCCAAAGGACUUGACGGUACCCCACAUCCCCCUAGAGGAGCCUGUCCUAUAAUCGAUAACCCUCGCUUAACCUCACCACUUCUAGCCUAUCCGCCUGUAUACCUCCGUCGUCAGCUUACCCCGUGAGCGUAAUUUAGUGAGCUUAAUGUCUCUACGUCAAUACGUCAGGUCAAGGUGCAGCAAAUGAACUGGGAAGAGAUGGGCUACACUCUCUACAAUAGAGAAAACGAAACACUAUAUAUGAAAACUAAUGAGAAGGCGGAUUUAGUAGUAAAAAAGAACAAGAGAGUCUUUUUUAACACGGCACUGGGGUGUGUACACACCGCCCGUCACCCUCUUCAACACUUUAUUUUAGUACUUAACCCUAUUUUAGUAUAAUAGAAGAGGCAAGUCGUAACAUGGUAAGUAUACCGGAAGGUGUGCUUGGAAA